ensembl:lncRNA
CACGGGCCCGCUCCGUAGCGGAGAUGCGUCCGGCCCCGAGGGCGCGGCGGGCUGCGAGUCCCUGACCCACGGCCCAGAGUAGGAGCCCGCUCUGCCCCGCGCUCCUCGGUCCCGAGCCUGCAGUGGACCUCGGGCCGCAGGCGCCUCCGCAUGUGGCAGCGCAGUUAGGUGAGUGCUGGUUCCAGCCGGAUGGGGUAAGCCCGACCUGCGGGGGUUGGGGCCACCCAGACCCGGGUUAAGGCUGCAGAGUGGAGCAGGACGAGCUGAAAAGGAACCAGUGAUGCGGCCGGCCGGGGUGAGAACAUCGGGGCGGUCAAGGCUGCAGGAAGGUGAGAGCCUCGGGUCGGGUGCGGAGUCCUCGCUGGACAGACACCCCGAGGCUGAGAGGCUCAAGUCCUCCUUUCCGGGUAGCGGGGCGAACUGCGUCUCAGACUCCAGAGCACAGACAGGGCAGAGGCCGCACCCUAGAAACAAGGUUAAGCUGUGACAGGAGGAGUGAUGUCCUUGAAAUUGAUAUUUGCCGAAUAAGAAAAGAAAGAAGGCCGGGGGACUGGCAGUGAAAAUUGAUGCAGAAAUGUGAGUGAUCAGAACACUGGGCUUCAGAGUCUUUGAUACAACAGGCUUGUCAAAAUUAAAUCAAAGAACAUUAUGUAUAAAUAAUGAUCGAUGAUCAGGAUUAUCAGAAUGUGAGCAAUUACCAAAGAAACAGGGCUAAACAGCAUUACUGACACAACACUUGCACUUCAAAAUAAUACAAUAAUAGUCACUUUCAAAAUCCAGUGAAAAUAGUAAUCAUAGCUUAUAAGGAUUAAAAACAAAGUAACUAGAUAUAGAAACAAUGUAAGAGUAGUAUAUUAAAAUGAAUAGCAAUUGUAUAACAUGAUAAUAAUGUAACAAAGUACUAAACUACAGGCAACUCGAAGAAGCAAAUUGUAGGAAAAGAUGAACUAUGAAAAAUACUAUUAAGGAAAAUACUAUUAGUUUUGCUAGACUACUAUCGCAUAAUGUAUUAUUGACACCAUAGUGAAGUAUUAAAACAGAGCAAAAUCUCAGGAGCAAUAGCAAUAUAAAUACACAGUGAUAAGAAUUGUUGGAGUAAUAUGACAAUUUAUGACCAAGGUAUUAAUAGUCACAACAACAUUAUAAAUAAUGGUCGAGCAAUAAGAAAUAUUGUUUCAAUGUGAUGAAAAAUAAUCAGACUAUUAAGAACCACAGCAAUAUUACAAAUUAUGACAAAGUAACAAGCAGUAAUGAUGUGAUGAAAAAUAAGGAGCGAAUUAAGAUCUGUAACAUUACAAAUAAUGACAAAGUAACAAGAUACUGUAACGAUGUGAUGAAGAAUAUUACCUAGAGUAUUAGGAGCAAUCCUAAUAAAACAAAUUGUAGUACGAUAAUAAGAAAUAUAAGGAUUGACAAAAUUAAUAUGAAUAUUGAGAACAACGCUAUUACAAGUUAUGGAAAAUAACAUGUUAUUCAAAAGAUGUGACAAAGUCUAAGGACAAUGAAGAGCUAGAAACGGAAACAUUUUUGGGAUACAGAGUAAAAUUAAAAUAAGGAAGGAUUAGCCCGACCUAUUGGAAUCCGAUUACCUAGAUAUUGGCAACACUAUUACUAAUGGGCCAGGGUUCCCUGGAAGGCUGAAGCGGUUACAGGAAAGCAACGACAACAUAUUUAAUACUGAUAAAUUAAUGAAUCUAACCAGUGCUUUAACCACACAUUAUUAAAGAUAAAAAGCACUGACAAUUCACAUGCGAGGGUAAAUACAGUUAACGUUACUUGAACUGAUACUGCUCUGAUAAUGGGGGCAAAUAUUAAAACUAGUAAAAAUAGCAACAAUUUUCCCACUGUGAGAAAAAUAUUACUAAGUAAUCUAAAAGUGAAAAGAAAAAUGUUGCCGUCCUUGGAAAAUGAGGCAGUCGAAAGCCACAAACCCCAGUUCGGAAGGAGCGGAGCCCACGGCCGCGGCCGCGGAGGGCCAACGGAAGGGUGCGGCGCAGAGCUCCAGUCCGGCCCGCGGCGGGGUGCGGGACCCCAAGGAGCGCGCGGGGCUCGGGGUCCGAGGGAACUGCGGGGACCGCCGCUCAGGGUCGGGCUGGGGGAAAGGACACUGGCGGGGAUCUUCGGAGAAAGUUAGUUGUCUCGAGGUUAGCGUGUGGCUCCGACGCCUGGAAGAGGAGGCCAGCUCCGAGGAGGGAAGGGGAGCGGAGCGUAACCUCCGUCGCCAGUGCGCGCAGAGGGCCUGUGUCCGUGGUUGUGCUCUGCACUCCAGCAGGGCUGAGUGUGGGGUGCGAGCCGACCGGCUCCCCAGUGCGGCUCCGGGUGCGGCAAGUGCCUGGCAGAGGACUUGGUAGCCAGGUCCCCGCCCCGCCCCUCGAGCCGCCGCACCUAGGAGCCUCCAUCCCGGGGCCCACAUCGAGUGGGAACCGUGCUUUGCCCACAACCCGCAUGUGGCCUAAGAUGGGUGCUGGGGACAGCCUUGUCCCGGCGGGAGCCCUGUUCCCUGCUGGCUGUGGCCGAGGACUCUCUGGGCUGUCAGGCUUAUCUUUAUGGGCUUUUCCCAGCCCCAGCUGGCCCCGGCCCCUUUUUAUCUCCUGGUUGCACUUGGCUUGUUUACUUUGCCGGCCCUGGGAGCCUAACUUAAACCCAGGAUGGGGAGUCUGGGGAGAUCCAGGAGAGAACAGAAAAAGAGUAGAAGAAAGCGGAGACACUGCCCCACACAACAGACAGGCAGUCAGACACACAGAGAGCCCACCUGAACUUGGCCAGAUUCAGAGCAUGGACAACCAGGCAGGGAGGAAGGAAAGCAGGGAUAGUGCAGGCUGCACCCCCUCCUGGGGGGAUGCUGGUCUUUGCAAGCUGAGCUUUUUUCCUGGUAUCCCAGGACCAGCUGCAGGCUGGGAGCAGUUAUAAGGGUGGGUGGGAAAAUAGGCCCAGGCACUUGGGGCUAUAGAGCUGAGGCAAAACUACGCUGUGCCUGGGAGCUGGACCCGUGCUACUCGCCUGUCCCCAUCCAGGAAGGGUCUGGGUCCUUUGGCCCCAAGGAGAGCCCUCUGGAACUAAAGUGAGAGGGUGAGCCAGUGGGUGUGAGUGUGCGGACAGGCUGGGAGGGCCCUGGCAGAGUUUAGGGCCCGAGGUGAGGUGAGGAGGAGGCUGCGUGUGGAUGCUGUGUCCUCCUGUGAGGAUGUGUGUGCCCCAGUGGAAAUGCGCAGGAGUGAAGCCUUUGGUUCAGGAACCCAGUGCCAUCUGAGGGCAGACGAGUGAGCAGAGGUGAAAGGGCCGCCCAGCUCUCGCUCUCUCUGCAGGAGAUGCUGCAGGACAAGGGCCUGUCGGAGAGCGAGGAGGCCUUCCGGGCCCCGGGCCCAGCGCUCGGCGAGGGCAGCGCCGCCACCGCCCCCGAGCCCGCGCUGGCAGCGCCGGGCCUCAGCGGAGCCGCGCUCGGUAGCCCCCCGGCCCCAGGCACCGACGUCUCCGCCGCCACCGCCGCCGAGCAG